rnacentral:rRNA from 1 species
AGCGAACGCUGGCGGCAGGCCUAACACAUGCAAGUCGAACGGAUCCUUCGGGAUUAGUGGCGGACGGGUGAGUAACACGUGGGAACGUGCCCUUUGGUUCGGAACAACUCAGGGAAACUUGAGCUAAUACCGGAUGUGCCCUUCGGGGGAAAGAUUUAUCGCCGUUGGAGCGGCCCGCGUCUGAUUAGCUAGUUGGUGAGGUAACGGCCCACCAAGGCGACGAUCAGUAGCUGGUCUGAGAGGAUGAUAAGCCACACUGGGACUGGGAAACGGCCCAGACUCCUACGGGAGGCAGCAGUGGGGAAUCUUGCGAAAUGGGCGAAAGCCUGACGCAGCCAUGCCGCGUGAAUGAUGAAGGUCUUAGGAUUGUAAAAUUCUUUCAGCGGGGAAGAUAAUGACGGUACCCGCAGAAGAAGCUCCGGCUAACUUCGUG